GUGCUCCCUUCAGCCGCACAUGUACUGAAAUUGGAAUGAUACAGAGAAUAUUAGCAUGGCUCUUGCACAAGGAUGACAUGCAAAUUUGUGAAGUGUUCCAGAUUUUA